UACAGAGGUGGCAAGCGUUGUUCGGAAUUACUGGGCGUAAAGGGCGCGUAGGCGGCGCGGUAAGUCACUUGUGAAAUCUCUGAGCUUAACUCAGAACGGCCAAGUGAUACUGCAGUGCUAGAGUGUGGAAGGGGCAAUCGGAAUUCUUGGUGUAGCGGUGAAAUGCGUAGAUAUCAAGAGGAACACCUGAGGUGAAGACGGGUUGCUGGGCCAACACUGACGCUGAUGCGCGAAAGCCAGGGGAGCAAACGGG
rnacentral:rRNA from 1 species